ACGUUCAUCGGAGCAGGGUGAGUCGGCCCCUAAGGCGAGGCAGAGAUGCGUAGCUGAUGGGAAGCAGGUUAAUAUUCCUGCACCGUCGUAUGAUGCGAUGGGGGGACGGAUCGCGGAAGGUUGUCUAGCUGUUGGAAUAGCUAGUUUCUGGUUCAUAGGAGGUACUUAGGCAAAUCCGGGUACAUAAUCCAAGGGGCUGGGACGAGGGACUUAGGUCCUGAAGCAAUCGGAAGUGGUUCCAAGAAAAGCCUCUAAGCUUCAGUCAUACGAGACCGUACCGCAAACCGACACAGGUGGGCGAGAUGAGUAUUCUAAGGCGCUUGA
rnacentral:rRNA from 1 species